GAUGAAGAACGCAGCGAAAUGCGAUACUUGGUGUGAAUUGCAGAAUCCCGUGAACCAUCGAGUCUUUGAACGCAAGUUGCGCCCGAAGCCAUUAGGCCGAGGGCACGCCUGCCUGGGUGUCACACGUCGUUGCCCCCCCAUCUACUCCUUCGGGAUUGCGGGGGGCGGAUGAUGGCCUCCCGUGCGCCUCGUCGCGCGGUUGGCAUAAAUGCCAAGUCCUCGGCGACGCACGCCACGACAAUCGGUGGUUGCGAAACCUCGGUUGCCCGUCGUGUGCGGUCGUCGCGCAUCGAGGACUCGAAAAAAUUGCCGGGCUCCGGCUCGGCUUUCAACGCGACCCCAGGUCAGGCGGGGUUACCCGCUGAAUUUAAGCAUAUCAAUAAGCGGAGGA
rnacentral:misc_RNA from 1 species